GACGAAGGUGGCUAGCGUUGCUCGGAAUUACUGGGCAUAAAGCGCGCGUAGGUGGUUCUGUAAGCGAGGGAUGAAAUCCCAUGGCUCACCCAUGGAACUGUCUCUCGAACUGCAGGGCUUGAGGACGGGAGGGGAGAGUGGAAUUCCCGGUGUAGCGGUGAAAUGCGUAGAUAUCGGGAGGAACGCCGGUGGCGAAAGCGACUCUCUGGCCCGUUUUUGACACUGAGGCGCGAAAGCUAGGGGAGCAAACAGG
rnacentral:rRNA from 1 species